GGCUAGAUUUAGGACCGCACAGACACCACAGAGCGUGUGAAAGCAACGCUUCUGAAAGGCUGGCGCAUAGGACCAACACGGGAGAGAUGAACAGAAGCAGCUGCUGUCAGUGUGUAUGUGUUGCGCUCUUUCUCAGAGUUGUAAAAGCAAGCUGAACAGAAACUGGCUACACUUUGGUUGACUGAUGUAGAUUGCAAGCCUUCAACAGAAGUAAAUGAACUUAGCUACCUUUCGCCAGUUGAUGUACCGUUAGAGAGCUUGCCAAACUUAGGAUCAGAUAGUGACUGGUGUCCCAGCAUGGUCAGACAGUCAGGGAAGACAAGUCUACGGAGCUCAGGAGGAUCAGAUGGUGACAGGUCUCAGCAGGGUCAGGCAGCCAAGAAAGACCAGUCUGUGGUGGAGCUGAAGUGAAUUUUUGCAGAUACGACACUUUAUUAUCUCUGUGCAGCAAACACUGGACAAGCCAGACGCUUCAAAGAUUGAGACUAUUUUAAGGCAGUGUGACAAAAUUCAAAAGGCACUCGUACAUCUGAGCAAUCUUAUUGCAGGUGCAUGGCAACAGUUGAAACAGGAUGAAGGAAAAAGGAAACCGCACACUGCUCUUGAUAGUAUCACUGAUAUUUAAUAAGCUUACGUAUCGGCCUCACGGCCUUCGUCAGAG